GUGGGGUGUAAUUCAAAUAUCAUUUAAGGGAGACUACAGUCCAUUAAGUUCCAUUUCCUCAUACAACUUAACUGACGAAUGGAAGGAACCCAUUUCUCUAAUGCAUUUCUACCACUUCCAUUUCGUAUCAUCACUGCAUCUAAAAGAAGAAAAAAUCCAUAUAUUAGCCAGAAGGAGGACUUGCGAUCGCAAAAUUAGCUGUCUCUCUGCUGUUAAAUUUUCCGUCCUCGUAAACUUCACGUUUUUUUUCUUUCUUUCUUUUUCUUACUUAAAGCCUUGGCAAAGUCAGUCUACAUUCCAUUCCCUUCAAACUACAUUCACACAAUCUCAAGGUAAAAAGUAUAAUAAUAUUUACUCAGCAGAGAAA